rnacentral:lncRNA from 1 species
GUACAUUACGCACUUGGAUUGACCUUUGAUGAGGAGGUGUGUGUCAUGGUUGUGCCUCAUAAAUGAGUACAUCUGAUCGAGGAUCAACUUAUGGACACUCCACAGGUUAUGAUGGGAUAGUUUAUAGGUCUUGAACUUAUCAAGUUCAAUUAUUCUCCCACUAUCUCCUUUUUAGAAAUUUUUUUUUAAUAGGUGACAUACCUACUAACAAAACACCUUUUGUCCAGU